GACGAACGCUGGCGGCGUGCUUAACACAUGCAAGUCGAACGGAAAGGCCCUGCUUGCAGGGUACUCGAGUGGCGAACGGGUGAGUAACACGUGGGUGAUCUGCCCUGCACUUCGGGAUAAGCCUGGGAAACUGGGUCUAAUACCGGAUAGGAGCCAUUUUUAGUGUGAUGGUUGGAAAGUUUUUUCGGUGUAGGAUGAGCUCGCGGCCUAUCAGCUUGUUGGUGGGGUAAUGGCCUACCAAGGCGGCGACGGGUAGCCGGCCUGAGAGGGUGGACGGCCACAGUGGGACUGAGAUACGGCCCAGACUCCUACGGGAGGCAGCAGUGGGGAAUAUUGCACAAUGGGCGCAAGCCUGAUGCAGCGACGCCGCGUGGGGGAUGACGGCCUUCGGGUUGUAAACUCCUUUCGCUAGGGACAAAGCUUUUUGUGACGGUACCUAGAUAAGAAGCACCGGCUAACUACGUG
rnacentral:rRNA from 1 species